CCUACGGGAGGCAGCAGUGAGGAAUAUUGGUCAAUGGGCGCAAGUCUGAACCAGCCAUGCCGCGUGCAGGAUGAAGGCUCUAUGGGUUGUAAACUGCUUUUGUACGGGGGUAAACCCCGAUACGUGUCUCGGGUGGAAAGUAUCUUACGAAUAAGGAUCGGGUAACUCCGUUCCAGCCGCCGCGGUAAUACGGGGGAUCCGUGGGUUGUCCGGAUUUUUUGGGGUUAAAGGGUGCGUAGGGGGUUUGAUAAGGUAGAGGUGAAAGGUCGGGGCUCAACCCCCAAACUGCCUCUAAUACUGGGUGACUAGAGAAGAGGUGAGGUAGGCGGAAUGUAUGGUGUAGCGGUGAAAUGCUUAGAGAUCAGACAGAACACCGAUUGCGAAGGCAGCUUACCAAACUAUAUCUGACGUUGAGGCACGAAAGCGUGGGUAGCAAACAGGAUUAGAUACCCCUGUAGUC
rnacentral:rRNA from 1 species